UGCAGUUAAAAAGCUCGUAGUUGGAUUUCGGAACCGGCCGAUUGGUCCGUCCUCUGGAUCGUGUACUGAUCGGUCUGUUCUUCUUCGCGAAGACCGCGUGUGCUCUUAACUGAGUGGGCGUGGGAUUCGCGACGUUUACUUUGAAAAAAUUAGAGUGUUCAAAGCAGGCAGUCGCUUGAAUAUCUCAGCAUGGAAUAAUAGAAUAGGACUUUGGUCUUAUUUUGUUGGUUUCCGAGACCGAAGUAAUGAUUAAUAGGGACAGUUGGGGGCAUUCGUAUUUCACUGUCAGAGGUGAAAUUCUUGGAUUUAUGAAAGACGAACUUCUGCGAAAGCAUUUGCCAAGGAUGUUUUCAUUAAUCAAGAACGAAAGUUGGGGGCUCGAAGAUGAUUAGAUACCAUCCUAGUCUCAACCAUAAACGAUGCCGACUAGGGAUUGGUGGAUGUUAAUUGAUGACUUCACCAGCACCUUAUGAGAAAUCAAAGUUUUUGGGUUCCGGGAGGAGUAUGGUCGCAAGGCUGAAACUUAAAGGAAUUGACGGAAGGGCACCACCAGGAGUGGAGCCUGCGGCUUAAUUUGACUCAACACGG
rnacentral:rRNA from 1 species